UGUUGUAGUGGUGACGUUGUCGAAAAUGUUAGGUGAGAGAAGAACAUAUCAUGUAUUCAUUUUCUAGCCAUCUAUAAAUUGUUUUUUUUAAAUAAAAACAUUAACAACAUUACAUGUAAAACUUGACCCCAAAAAUAAAUAAAUAAUUACAUGUAAAACAAUUGAGUGAUGGGGGCCAUUGCAUUAUUCCCCUUUGGAUUUAUGCAUGCAGGAGGAGCUAGUAGGCUUCGCAUUUAUGGGUAGAAUGGACAUUAUUGGACAACCUUAGGUAUGCAUAUAUAGGAAAACGUCCAAAAUCCAUAAAGUUGGGACGUACGUGGUGGUGCAUGCAUGUUGGUAUUUGAUAUUGAUAUUUUAUUCCCACCCAAAAUAUUACAAACGAAUGCAGUCAAAAAAUAACUCAAAACCAGUGCACACUCGCGUCACGUGCUUCUGCAGACACAAACUAGUAAGCAAUUCACAGAGGACAUAGCCACAGAGGGGGAGCAGAUCGAUGCAAAUUAUUAAGUUUUUCUUUAAGCCAAAAAACUCAGCACCGACAUGACUUAAUAAUUAAGAUUACCACAGUAUAUCGAUCUGAUACACUAUCAGAUAAACAAAAAACAAAACAACAAAUUACAGAAAUUGAUCCCUCAAGAAGUAGAUUUCACUUCCAAGCUUUCACAUGCUAUUAAUUAUUAGCUGACACAUAUUAUGCUAAUCAAUUAAACCACAGUGACCACUAAUUGGGAUAUUUAGAACUGUGCUGUGGUGAUGAUCAACUUCAACUAUGCAGGGCACUGGAAUCCAGAGGGUGGAGUUUUCCCACAGUCAAUCAGAACCUGAAGAGCGAUGGGGAUGAUGAUGUUGAUGUUGAGAAGCUUAGCCUUGAUGGUGGUGCAAAGGCAAAUUGCAGCAUCCAAGUCCACCAGCCCUUGAAGCACUGGACAGCAUGCAUCCUUGGCACUGCUGCCAAUUCCAAUGUGAAUGAGGCCACCCAACACAUCCACACAAGCUCCCAACUUGAGAGUGUCGAUGGGACACGUGUUCUUUGGUGGUGAUGGGGUUGGCACUGGUGUUGGUGGUGGUGGAGGAGGACAUGGUGUCUCAGUGGGUGGAGGAGGCUUAACUGGUACAACUGGGGUAGGUGUAGGUGUUGGUGGGCUUGGUGGUACAACAGGUGGUGAUGGUGGUGGCUUAACUGGUACAACUGGGGUAGGUGUUGGUGUUGGUGGGCUUGGUGGUACAACAGGUGGUGAUGGUGGUGGCUUAACUGGUACAACUGGGGGCUUGGGUACAUAGGGUGGUGGGGGUUGUACAACUGGGGGCUUGGGUACAUAUGGUGGUGGUGGUUGUACAACUGGGGGUUUGGGGAUGAAGGGUGGGUGCACAAUUGGGGGUUUAGGGAUAAAAGGUGGGUGCACGAUUGGGGGCUUGGGGAUGAAGGGUGGGUGCACAAUUGGGGGCUUGGGGAUGAAGGGUGGGUGCACAAUUGGGGGUUUAGGGAUGAAGGGUGGGUGCACAAUUGGGGGUUUAGGGAUGAAGGGUGGGUGCACAAUUGGGGGUUUAGGGAUGAAGGGUGGGUGCACAAUUGGGGGCUUGGGGAUGAAGGGUGGGUGCACAAUUGGGGGCUUGGGGUGGGGUGGUGGUUUGACAAUAGGAGGCUUGGGGAUGAAGGGAGGUCUCACAAUAGGUGGUUUGGGGACAGAAGGAGGUUUUGGUAUAUGGGGAGGAUAUACAAUGGGGGGUUUGGGGCCAUGAGGUGGCUUGGGUACAUGGGGUGGAUGAGGAUGAGGUGGCUUUGAUGGUGGCUUGGGAACAUAGGGAGGCUUUACAUGAGGGGGAUGGGGUGGUUUUGAUGGUGGUUUGGGAACAUAGGGAGGCUUUACAUGAGGAGGAAGAGGUGGUUUUGAUGGUGGUUUGGGAACAGAGGGAGGCUUUACAUGAGGGGGAUGAGGUGGGUGUUUAGGUGGUUUAGGGAUGAAGGGUGGCUUUACAUGAGGAGGCUGUUUGGGUGGCAAGUGUGGAGGGUAUGUUGGUGGUGGACAGUAGGAGUUAGCAAGAGAAGUGAGCAAACUACCCAAAUUCACAAUGAGGACUAAGAGCAAAGCCAGGGUAUAAUUCCCCAUGUUCAAAACUCCACAACCCUCAAAAGAGUUGGGUUGUUUAAGACCGGAUAUUGAAACCCAACACCAUGCAAAAGCCUUCUUAUAGAGAUAUGGUGAGACAAGUUGUGAGUGAGUAUGUACAUAAGAGAGAGAGAGAGAGAGAGAGAGAGAGAGAGAGAGAGAGAGAACACAAUCCUGUACCUUUCUUUGUGGUACCAACUAAAGAUAUAUAAAACUAUUAAUCUCUGUGCAUAAUUAAUUAAUUUGUCAAAUUGCCAAGAUGCACAUUGAAUUGAGGUCUCUCCAAACUCCAAACUUCAACUUGAUCAGUAUCAAAUUCACCACAAACAAAAGGGAGGAAUUGAGUCACUUUCUUCCUUUACAUUCAGAACCAAGUAGGGCACUGCAAUCACUGACUUAAACUGUAGACAAAAGUAUUCAGCUUUUAAGGAGAAAAGGAUCAAGAAAACGCGGUUUUGUGAUAGAGGCAAGUUUUAACAUGUAG
rnacentral:lncRNA from 1 species